ensembl:ncRNA T07F10.9 ncRNA
UUCCUGAAAAGAUUUUCUUGUUUCAUCAUGUUCAAAAAUUAUUAUUACUUAUCAAAAAAUAGUUCUUUAAAGACGGGACAGAGUCACAAGCUUCAGUGAUCAAUCAGUUAUGUUGAUAAGCUUCUGGGUAUUUGCUUUUCUUUGAGUU